UACGUAGGGUGCAGGCGUUAAUCGGAAUUACUGGGCGUAAAGCGUGCGCAGGCGGUUUGCUAAGAGAGAUGUGAAAUCCCCGGGCUUAACCUGGGAACUGCGUUUCUAACUGGCAGGCUUGAGUGUGGCAGAGGGGGGUGGAAUUCCACGUGUAGCAGUGAAAUGCGCAGAUAUCGGGAAGAACACCCGUGGCGAAGGCGGCUCUCUGGGACGGUACUGACGCUGAGACGCGAAAGCGUGGGGAGCGAACAGG
rnacentral:rRNA from 1 species